rnacentral:rRNA from 1 species
AGCGAACGCUGGCGGCAGGCCUAACACAUGCAAGUCGAACGGAUCCUUCGGGAUUAGUGGCGGACGGGUGAGUAACUCGUGGGAACGUGCCCUUUGGUUCGGAACAACUCAGGGAAACUUGAGCUAAUACCGGAUGUGCCCUUCGGGGGAAAGAUUUAUCGCCAUUGGAGCGGCCCGCGUCUGAUUAGCUAGUUGGUGAGGUAACGGCCCACCAAGGCGACGAUCAGUAGCUGGUCUGAGAGGAUGAUCAGCCACACUGGGACUGAGACACGGCCCAGAAUCCUACGGGAGGCAGCAGUGGGGGAUCUUGCGAAAUGGGCGAAAGGAUGACGCAGCCAUGCCGCGUGAAUGAUGAAGGUCUUAGGAUAGUAAAAUUCUUUCAGCGGGGACGAUAAUGACGGUACCCGCAGAAGAAGCACCGGCUAACUUCGUG